rnacentral:rRNA from 1 species
AAGGGCGUGGGGCGUGCUUACACUGCAAGUCGAACGGAGCACCCCUNGAAGAGUUUUCGGACAAUGGAAGGGAAUGCCUUAUGGCGGACUGGUGAGUAACGCGUGAGGAACCUGCCUUCCAGAGGGGGACAACAGUUGGAAACGACUGCUAAUACCGCAUGACACAUGGCCGUGGCAUCACGGACAUGUCAAAGAUUUAUCGCUGGAAGAUGGCCUCGCGUCUGAUUAGCUAGUAGGCGGGGUAAUGGCCCACCUAGGCGACGAUCAGUAGCCGGACUGAGAGGUUGACCGGCCACAUUGGGACUGAGAUACGGCCCAGACUCCUACGGGAGGCAGCAGUGGGGAAUAUUGGGCAAUGGGCGCAAGCCUGACCCAGCAACGCCGCGUGAAGGAAGAAGGCUUUCGGGUUGUAAACUUCUUUUAAGGGGGAAGAGCAGAAGACGGUACCCCUUGAAUAAGCCACGGCUAACUACGUGCCAGCAGCCGCGGUAAUACGUAGGUGGCAAGCGUUGUCCGGAUUUACUGGGUGUAAAGGGCGUGCAGCCGGGACUGCAAGUCAGAUGUGAAAUCCGCGGGCUUAACCCGCGAACUGCAUUUGAAACUGCGGAUCUUGAGUACCGGAGAGGUUAUCGGAAUUCCUUGUGUAGCGGUGAAAUGCGUAGAUAUAAGGAAGAACACCAGUGGCGAAGGCGGAUAACUGGACGGCAACUGACGGUGAGGCGCGAAAGCGUGGGGAACAAACAGGAUUUAAAUACCCUGGUAGUCCACGCUGUAAACGAUGGAUACUAGGUGUGCGGGGACUGACCCCCUGCGUGCCGCAUUCAACACAAUAAGUAUCCCACCUGGGGAGUACGAUCGCAAGGUUGAAACUCAAAAAAAUUGACGGGGGCCCCCACAAACGGUGAAUUAUGUGGUUUAAUUCAAACCAACCCCGAAAAACCUUACCAGGC